UGGGGAAUUUUGCGCAAUGGGGGAAACCCUGACGCAGCAACGCCGCGUGGACGAUGAAGCUUCUUGGAGUGUAAAGUCCUUUCGGCAGGGACGAAUUAUGACGGUACCUGCAGAAGAAGCCCCGGCUAACUUCGUGCCAGCAGCCGCGGUAAUACGAGGGGGGCGAGCGUUGUUCGGAAUUAUUGGGCGUAAAGGGCGCGUAGGCGGUGUGGCAAGUCAGGUGUGAAACCUCCAGGCUCAACUUGGAGCUUGCAUCUGAAACUGCCGUGCUAGAGUGUGGGAGAGGAGAGUGGAAUUCCUGGUGUAGCGGUGAAAUGCGUAGAUAUCAGGAGGAACACCGGUGGCGAAGGCGGCUCUCUGGACCACAACUGACGCUGAGGCGCGAAAGCUAGGGGAGCAAACAGG
rnacentral:rRNA from 1 species